UACGUAGGGGGCAAGCGUUGUCCGGAAUUAUUGGGCGUAAAGCGCGCGCAGGCGGCCUUGUAAGUCUGUCGUUUAAACUCGGAGCUCAACUUCGAGUCGCGAUGGAAACUGCAAAGCUUGAGUGCAGAAGAGGAAAGUGGAAUUCCACGUGUAGCGGUGAAAUGCGUAGAGAUGUGGAGGAGCACCAGUGGCGAAGGCGACUUUCUGGGCUGUAACUGACGCUGAGGCGCGAAAGCGUGGGGAGCAAACAGG
rnacentral:rRNA from 1 species